GACGAACGCUGGCGGCGUGCUUAACACAUGCAAGUCGAACGAAGAGCGGUGGAAGCUGGCUUCUAUCACUCUUAGUGGCGAACGGGUGAAGAACGCGUGAUCAACCUGCCCUUCGGGGAAUAACAACAGGUGGAAGCGACUGCUAAUACCGCAUACGUUCUAAUCUCAGCAUCUAUGAGAGUUGAAAGGUGGCCUCGACAUGUAAGCUAGUACGUAAGGAGGUGAUUGCGUCUGACUAGCUAGGUGGAGGGGUAUGGGCGCACAAAGGCGAGGAUCAGUAGCCGGUCUGAGAGGCGGAACUGCGACACUGGGACGGAGACACGACCCAGAAUACUACGGGAGGCAGCAGUGGCGAAUCCUCCGCAAUGGACGCAAGUAGGACGGAGCAACGCUGCGUGAGUGACGACGGCAUCCGGGUUGUAAAGAUCUGUUAAUCGGGACGAAAGGCAUUUUUGCGAACAGUUAGAAGGAUUGACGGUAACGGAAGAGAAAGCCACGGCUAACUACGUG
rnacentral:rRNA from 1 species